UUUUCGUUACGAAAAUUAAAAGUCGAUUUUCAUUGGCUAAUAAAUUAAAUUAGACUAAAGCACGUUUUCAACUUUUCAAGUUCACUUCAGUACACGACAACUUCAAGCAAGACUACUUCUUUGGCAGAAUAUAUUGAAAGCAUUAAAGAAAAAAGGCUAAUAAAUUUUCUCCAUCAAAACAGACUAAUCCAUGUUCGCAAAUCUUGUAUCUGUGGUCAGCAAAUGACUAUUCAAAGAUUUGAGCGGUGUCUAGAUAAACACAUUUGGCGAUGCAGCAGCUGUAAGAAGACAAAAACACGAAGUGGUUGUUUUGAAUGUUCAACAUCUUUAAGUAGCGAAUACUCGAAUUUUCUCAAAUGAUCACAUACUGUGUUACACUGAUGACAAGAAGAUACACAUACUUAUGAUGAGAAGAAUAUACAUAGAGGAAAAGCUUAAAAUAAUGAGAUUAAGAAAAAAAGACAUUUGAAGAUUGAAAGAUAAGGAAGAUUUUGAAUUAAAAAAAGUUAAUGAAAGAAAAGUAAACUG